GCUGGGAUGGCGGAAUUGGCAGACGCACUGGCUUCAGGAGCCAGCGAUCGCAAGAUCAUGAGGGUUCGAAUCCCUCUCUCAGCACAA
rnacentral:tRNA from 1 species